rnacentral:rRNA from 1 species
UGAGUAAUAUUGGUCAAUGGGCGAGAGUCUGAACCAGCCAAGUAGCGUGCAGGAUGACGGCCCUAUGGGUUGUAAACUGCUUUUAUGCGGGAAUAAAGUGAGGAACGUGUUCGCUUUUGUAUGUACCGGAUGAAUAAGGACCGGCUAAUUCCGUG